ACACUAUGAAGUGAUUGACCUUAGGACUUUUUACUAUCAUUACGUAUGAGACAAUUAUCGAAAAUUGUCUCCUAAUCAACUUGAAUGGACAUGGUGAAUCAGAAGGUGACAUAGACAUUCAGGGAAUGUAAAUUAUGUUACCAAUGUUCUUUCAUACAUAAUUUUUUCCUCAAUGACGUGAUUUUCUAACUUUGUUACAAUUAAUCUUGUUCCAUUAAAAAACCCUUCAUCAUGGACCAAAUUUCUCAUUAGCAUAAUG
rnacentral:lncRNA from 1 species